rnacentral:RNase_P_RNA from 1 species
CCAGCCGGCCGGGCGGCCGCACCUGCAAACGCCGAAAGGCCGCGGGUGAGGAAAGUCCGGGCUCCAUGGAAACACGGUGCCGGCUAACGGCCGGCGGGGGCGACCCCAGGGAAAGUGCCACAGAAAGCAAACCGCCACGGUUUCCGUGGCAAGGGUGAAAGGGUGGGGUAAUAGCUCACCGCGCGACCGGCAACGGAAGCGGCACGGCAAACCCCACCGGGAGCAAGACCGAAUAGGGGCGGUGCGAGGGGAAACCUUCGAGGGCUGUUUCCGGCCCACCGUCCGGGUAGGUUGCGUGAGGCGCAUGGCAACAUGCGUCCAAGAUGAAUGGCCGCCACGUUCUCGCGCCGCAAGGCGGAGGGCCAUACAGAACCCGGCUUACAGGCCGGCUGGCAUU